rnacentral:rRNA from 1 species
GAUAAACGCUGGCGGCGUGCAUGAGACAUGCAAGUCGAACGAACGAGCUUGCUCGUUAGUGGCGGACGGCUGAGUAACGCGUAGGUGACCUGCCCCGAAGUGGGGGAUAGCUGCCCGAAAGGGUGGCUAAUACCGCAUGUGGCGACGUCUUCAGUGACGUCAUCAAAGCCGCGAGGCGCUUCGGGAGGGGCCUGCGUCCGAUUAGCUCGUUGGUGGGGUAAUGGCUCACCAAGGCGACGAUCGGUAGGUGGUCUGAGAGGACGAUCACCCAGACUGGGACUGAGACACGGCCCAGACUCCUACGGGAGGCAGCAGUCGGGAAUUUUGCUCAAUGGGCGCAAGCCUGAAGCAGCAACGCCGCGUGAGGGAUGAAGGCCUUCGGGUUGUAAACCUCUUUUUCCAGGGACGAUGAUGACGGUACCUGAAGAAUAAGUCACGGCUAACUACGUGCCAGCCGCCGCUGUAAUAC